rnacentral:rRNA from 1 species
AGAGUUUGAUUAUGGCUCAGGAUGAACGCUAGCGGCAGGCUUAACACAUGCAAGUCGAGGGGCAGCGGGAUGUAGCAAUACAUUGCCGGCGACCGGCGGAUGGGUGCGUAACGCGUAUGCAACCUACCUAUACAGGGGAAUAACCUUUCGAAAGGGAGACUAACACCCCAUAGUAUUGAUUUAAGGCAUCUUAGAUUAAUUAAAUAUUUAUAGGUAUAAGAUGGGCAUGCGUAUGAUUAGCUAGUUGGUAGGGUAACGGCUUACCAAGGCGACGAUCAUUAGGGGUUCUGAGAGGAAGGUCCCCCACACUGGUACUGAGACACGGACCAGACUCCUACGGGAGGCAGCAGUGAGGAAUAUUGGUCAAUGGGCGCAAGCCUGAACCAGCCAUGCCGCGUGCAGGAAAGACGGCCUUACGGGUUGUAAACUGCUUUUACAUAAGACUAACCGUAUAUUUGCGAAUAUACCUGAAUGUAUUAUGAGAAUAAGGAUCGGCUAACUCCGUGCCAGCAGCUGC